rnacentral:rRNA from 1 species
CCAGCUAAGGUCCCUAAUUAUAACUAAGUGGGAAAGGAGGUGGAGAUUCACAAACAACUAGGAGGUUGGCUUAGAAGCAGCCAUACCUUUAAAGAGUGCGUAAUAGCUCACUAGUCGAGAGUCUCUGCGCCGACAAUGUAACGGGGCUAAGUUAUAAACCGAAGCUGUGGAAUCCAUUUGGAUUGGUAGGAGAGCGUUCUGUAGGCCGUUGAAGAAGAAGGGUAACCAACUUUGGAGGUAUCAGAAGUGAGAAUGCAGGAAUAAGUAGCGAGAAAGGGGGCGAGAAUCCCCCUCGCCGGAAGACCAAGGUUUUCAGGGUAAAGCUUGUCUUCCCUGAGUAAGCCGGGACCUAAGCCCAGGCUAUAAUGCGUAGGCGAAUGGAAAACAGAUUAAUAUUUCUGUGCCAGUCAUUUAUUGUGAUGGAGGGACGCAGAAGGGUAUGCACGCGGACGAUUGGUUGUGUCCGUAGAAGUAUGUAAGAUGACUUAGUAGGUAAAUCCAUUAAGUUAUAUCUGAGGUAUGAUAUACAGUCGUAAGAUGAAUGUGCAAAUCCCACGCUGCCAAGAAAAGCUUCUAACGUUAAUAUAUGACUGCCCGUACUGAAAACCGACACAGGUGGUCAGGAUGAGAAAUCUAAGGCGGACAGGCUAACUCUCGUUAAGGAACUCUGCAAAAUAACCUCGUAACUUCGGGAGAAGAGGAGCCCUUGUGUGUGAGUAUACAUGCGAUACAAAGCGCACGAGGGUCGCAGUGAAGAGGCUCAAGCAACUGUUUAACAAAAACACAGGUCUAUGCUAAGCUGUAAGGCGAUGUAUAUGGGCUGACACCUGCCCAGUGCUGGAAGGUUAAGAGGAGGAGUGAGAGCUCCGAAUUGAAGCCCCAGU